AGUGAACGCUGGCGGUAGGCCUAACACAUGCAAGUCGAACGGCAGCACAGUAAGAGCUUGCUCUUACGGGUGGCGAGUGGCGGACGGGUGAGGAAUACAUCGGAAUCUACUUUUUCGUGGGGGAUAACGUAGGGAAACUUACGCUAAUACCGCAUACGACCUACGUGUGAAAGCAGGGGAUCUUCGGACCUUGCGCGAUUGAAUGAGCCGAUGUCGGAUUAGCUAGUUGGCGGGGUAAAGGCCGACCAAGGCGACGAUCCGUAGCUGGUCUGAGAGGAUGAUCAGCCAGACUGGAACUGAGACACGGUCCAGACUCCUACGGGAGGAAGCAGUGGGGAAUAUUGGACAAUGGGCGAAAGCCUGAUCCAGCCAUACCGCGUGGGUGAAGAAGGCCUUCGGGUUGUAAAGCCCUUUUGUUGGGAAAGAAAAGCAGCAGGUUAAUACCCCGCUGUUCUGACGGUACCCAAAGAAUAAGCACCGGCUAACUUCGUG
rnacentral:rRNA from 1 species